rnacentral:rRNA from 1 species
AUUGAACGCUGGCGGCAUGCUUUACACAUGCAAGUCGAACGGUAACAGGCCGCAAGGUGCUGACGAGUGGCGAACGGGUGAGUAAUGCAUCGGAACGUGCCCAGUCGUGGGGGAUAACGCAGCGAAAGCUGCGCUAAUACCGCAUACGAUCUAUGGAUGAAAGCGGGGGACCUGUAAGGGCCUCGCGCGAUUGGAGCGGGCGGUGUCAGAUUAGGUAGUUGGUGGGGUAAAGGCCCACCAAGCCGACGAUGUGUAGCUGGUCUGCGAGGACGACCAGCCACCCUGGGACUGAGACCCGGCCCAGACUCCUACGGGAGGAAGCAGUGGGGAAUUUUGGACAAUGGGCGGAAGCCUGAUCCAGCAAUGCCGCGUGCAGGAAGAAGGCCUUCGGGUUGUAAACUGCUUUUGUACGGAACGAAACGGCUCUGGGUAAUACCUGGGGCUAAUGACGGUACCGGAAGAAUAAGCACCGGCUAACUACGUGCCAGCCGCCGCUGUAAGAC